AUGUCCUGGAGCUUGCACAUUAAGGACUUACCAACCUAACAGCUCCCAGCCUCAAGAAACCCAACUCUUCAUAAAGCAGCUGUAUUAGGAGAUAAUCUUUAGCUAUCCGAUUAUUUAACCUUGACAUUGAAGAUCCUUGGGCCAGUCUGUUAUACUCUGGUGACAUAUAUGUCUGUGGUUUUGAACUGAUGACCUGCUGGUACUUCACAAAUAGCAGGUAAACGACAUUCCCUCAGAAUU